AGUUGGUGAUGGACAGGGAGGCCUGGCGUGCUGUGAUUUAUGGGGUCACAAAGAGUCAGACACGACUGAGUGACUGAACUGAACUGAACUGGUAAAGGUGCCCAUUUAAAAAAUGCACACACACACACACACAUACACACAAUCAGUCUGAAACACUUUGAAUUCCAAAGUACCCUGUUUUGGUCAUCACAUUUUAGAAAAAGACAUUUUAUUUUGCAUCACAUACAUACAAAUCUACACAGUUUCUGUCAAUACCCAUGCCACCUGCUCUGAAGACUCAAAGGUCCCCAAGAUCCUUGCUUUAUUCUCUUCUCAUCUGGCAGACACCACGGGCUGUGUCUGGUCGGCCAUCACUUUUGUUUCCUAAUCCAACUGCACGACUUGAUGUUCACAGUCCUACUCAUUGUUCUGCAGAACUGAUGGGGGAAUGCCAUCCAAGAAACCUCCUUAUUCAUUCUAUGGCCACUCACAUCCAUGAUAUUUUAAUAUGAAUUCUAAUCUGGAGAUACAGUUUUCUUCCUGGCCAUACCCAUGCAGGAAUGCAAGCGUGCUUUCACAGCCCUGUAGCCCCAUAGCCUCAGCAGACUUACAGAACUCUUCAACCCCUAAGAAAAGGACUGGAUCACUCUGAAGAUGGAAAAACCCUUGGAAAGAGCCAAGUCAAAAUUUUCAAACCUCUCUUCAUCAUAAAGCAUCCUCUCCCAUUUUCUAUCUACUUCCUACAAAUUCUAGCAAGCUUUAAAGAUAUUUUUCAAUGGAAAAUUUAAAAAGGUUCAGCCAGGGAAUUAGCCCCAGGCCCAGGAGUGUUAAGCAGAUUGAUUUCAAGACGCUCCAGAAUUUCAAUUGCACGAGAGUAGACUCAGACAUUAGUUGGACCCAGCACCUUAAAUGGGAAACUGGCCCAACUGCAGGAGACUGACCCAGACAAAUUGAAAGUGAUUUCGGGACACCUGAAGCAUCAGGCCUGUGUUGAAUCUGCAGCAGGAUCUGAACAAGAAUCUGGAGGUGGGCAGAGCGAGAGGCUCCAUUCAUUUAUUGUCUGCAUUUCUGUGAAGUCAGCACCCAGUUUUGAGGUAAAAGGAAGAUUAAUCAGACACAGGCAAACCUCAAGUAUCAAAAUGUUCUGUCAAGGCAGAAAGAACUCCCUCGUGGGCUGGCUAUUACAAGCAGGUAUCUUUGAAAAGUACUAUUAGUU
rnacentral:lncRNA from 1 species